rnacentral:tRNA from 1 species
GCCGGAGUAGCUCAGCGGUAGAGCACCGCAUUCGUAAUGCGGGGGUCGCGGGUUCAAGCCCCGCCUCCGGCU